rnacentral:misc_RNA from 1 species
UGGCUCUCGCAUCGAUGAAGAACGCAGCGAAAUGCGAUAAGUAAUGUGAAUUGCAGAAUUCAGUGAAUCAUCGAAUCUUUGAACGCACCUUGCGCCCCUUGGUAUUCCGAGGGGCAUGCCUGUUUGAGUGUCACGUAGACUCAACCCCCCGGGUUUCUUGACCAGGGCGGAGUUGGAUUUGGGCCCUGCCUACCCUGGCUGGCCUUAAAUGCGUUAGCGGAUGGCCACACGGACGUUGUAAGCACUCGUCCAAGGUCCCGCUCACAGAACCCCCCGAUUUUGCACUCUGACCUCAAAUCAGGUAGGGCUACCCGCUGA